GCCCACCACAAUCCCUCCUGCAUGGCAUCUGCCAGAAAGAUCUGUGUCCCCUCAUAAUGAGCUGAGAAGAAUGUUUGACAUGCCCAGUUUAUUGAUACAAGAAGAUCCUAACUCUACACACUAGCCAGUCUUUGCCUGGUCAUGCUAAAUUCAUGACAGUUGUUUUAUUUUUUUUCCCAUUGGUUUAUUAGAUCACUUUAUAGC
rnacentral:lncRNA from 1 species